rnacentral:rRNA from 1 species
GACGGAGGAUGCAAGCGUUAUCCGGAAUUAUUGGGCGUAAAGCGUCCGUAGGCGGUUGAAUAAGUCAGCUGUUAAAGACCGGGGCUUAACCCUGGGGUUGCAGCUGAGACUGUUCGACUAGAGAGCGGUAGGGGUAGAGGGAAGUCCUAGUGUAGCGGUGAAAUGCGUAGAUAUUAGGAAGAACACCAGUGGCGAAGGCGCUCUACUGGGCCGUUACUGACGCUGAUGGACGAAAGCUAGGGGAGCGAAUGGG